AGCGCGGCGCUCGGCUUUCCGGCAGUACCCGGAUGGAGGGGUAAUGGCCGCCAUCUGGGACUCGCAGGCAAUGGGGACCACGAUACCAUCUCUUGAUCACUGUACCUGAUUGUGGGUGGCAUUGUCCAGGCAUUAAGUUGUGUGCCUUUGUUCCUGGGAGAAAGGGAAGCAUCCAGUCGUCACUAAUAUCAGUUCAUGCUUGAUGGUGUUUUAUGCUGGCUCCCAUGAGUGACCUGUUCAGAGACUGAGUAGAAGAUAAUGGUGGACAGCCCUUUCUUCUCCCACCAGCCUUACCGACCUGACAAGAGUUUCUCUGGAGGUGAAGAACCUUCUCACAAAUGGUUCCCUGCUACAUAUAAAGAUGGACUGAGCUUAGAUAAAGUUACUUUCUGUUAUAGUUCAUUUGAAAGGUAUUAAUUUUCUUUGAAGCUACAUCUUGCUGGACUGUAGUUAAACUUGAAAUAAUGCUUGAAGAGUUUAGGGCAAGUCAAUGCUGUUGUUGUUGCUCUGCCCUGUGUCAGAUUGGAAUGCCAGUUAAUUGUCUUUUCCUGUGGCUGUCUUCCGUCACUGCGGUAACUGGGGCAAUCUCCAGAGGAGAAACAAACUUUUUUCUAAAAUUCACUUGAACGUCAACAUUUUCUUGAAUUUGGUCCUAUUUUCCAGUGAUCCCCUUGCACAGAACUAUGCUUAUCUGAUUGGAAGUGUCCAUAACCAAAUGACUUUUUUAUCUCCCUUGGUUGGCAUCCCCUCAAAACGAACAGAAAGAACAUAGAAGCACUUCAAAGGGAAUGCUUUUCUUGAAAAUUAAAACUAUUUUUACAGAGAUAAUAUUUUGAAGCAAGGUUAACAAAGCAGAUUAUAUUUUUGCUUGUGUUUAAUUACUGUUCUUACCUAAACAUGUCCACAUUAGGAUAGACCAUUUUCAGGAUGACCAACAACCCAAAAUAGUGUUAAUAGUUGGUAUUUGAAAACAGAGAAGCAAGCAUUAACGAUGGACUCAGUAGCAGUUCAUUAAACUUGAAAAAUUCCUAAGAGACAUGCCCAACAAUUUCAAAAUGGAUUAUUUUCAUAACAAUGCAUUUACCAUAUACAUUUGCAUCAAUUUUUUUGUCUUAUUGGAUAAUGAAGUUAUAUUAGAAGAUGAUACUCUAUGUAAUUUUUUGUUUUGUUAUUACUAUACAUGUUAAUGACAUUUUCAUUGAUUAGAUCAAUUUCAGGGCUUUUUUGUAUAUAACAAAAAUGUACAUAUUUUUGUAUUGAUUAUGUAAAUUUGCACAAGAAGUUUAUGACACAAAAAGUAUUUUCUUUUUAGUUCUCUGCAUGCAUUAAUAAAAGUGGGUGAUUU
rnacentral:lncRNA from 1 species